AGCGGACAGACGGAGAGCUUUGCCUCCGCUACGUGUAGGCGUAUGUACUGUGCAGGGCCGUGCCGUUAUGAAUUUGAACCUUCGAAAUUUAAACGAGUCGGAGAAACUUGAUCGCUAAUCCCUUAGAAGCUUAUGGUGUGAUUACUAUUGACGCUAAUAAUGAAUCUAUAUAGUUUGCAAUACUGGAGACAUCUAGUGAUCAAAAGAGGAAGCUCUUGAUAUUUUUUACUAAUAGAAGAUCUAGUCGCGAUAGAUGAAGAGGGUGUAAUGGAUCUUUACUUUCAUUUGAUGUGGACUGAUUGGCCUCUAUUGAAAAUCAGUGGCUGGCUAUGGCGUCCCAUCGAAGCCCAGUGCCAAGUUGUUCAGCAUUGCUCACUAACUGUUUUAAUACAGCAUCCUGAAAUCCAUUUGAAACAGAACAUAAGAUGACGUAAUUCGUCGACGAUAGCCGGUCAGUUUGAGAUGAAGUACACAUGCAGACCACGACCGCGUUUCCGCUGCAAGCAGCUAUGUAUAUCGUAUGAACCUUUGCCAAACGGCGUUCGUUUAACCCUUUUGUUUCGUCAGAACUGCAAAGAUACCGCUGUGACGUCUAAGUGAAACGAUCGGAAAGAAUGAUUAUCCUUAGCAAGAUUUCCUGGAAAUCUCUACUCAUCACUGAAAUAUUAUGAUAGAGCGAUAGAAGUCUCAAGAAAAUUAACGAUAAGUCACGGAAUUAAUUCACAAUUUGUUAAUCAACAAAUCAAUCGUUCCUUUUUUAAAUAUCUAUUCGAUUAUCAAUAAAAUCUCGAAUAAAUAUUCUUCUUUUUAUUGCUUCCAGUUUUCGUAUUCUUCAUACGACAAACGUUACGAGACAUGCGUGCGCAUAUUUAUUCUGGCACACACGUGGCAACAGUGCUAUACAGGAAGCACGCGCAUUUCAUCUCCGCAGCUGUUUUUACAUCGGUGCACAUAUGUUUACGUUCCCGGCUAAGGACAAGUCGAGAAUAUGUUAUGAAGCGUUAAGUCGCGAGGGAAUGCUAGGAACCAAAAGGGGAGUGCCGUUUAAGUGGAAUGUCUCCUGUAUACAGGACGCGUCGUGGAAAAAAGUGAAUGUAGCGAAAUUCGUGAAACUAUGCAAAUAAAUACUUGGCAGUGAUUUGUUGCUCGAUUAGCACGUGAUAAGGCUGAUUGAACAGCUGUAUUGAAUCUUAUUUUUUUUUAA